AUGCCUGGAGGUAGGACUGCCCACUCGAGGUUCAAGAUCCCAUUAAGCUGCGACGACGGCGCCUCAUGCACCUUCACGAAGCAGAGUGGUACCGCCAAGCUACUGAGGAUGGCCUCAUUGAUACUAUGGGAUGAGGCCACCAUGACUAAGCGACAGGCGGUCGAGGCACUGGACAACAGCAUGCGCGACAUCAUGGGAAGACGAGACUGA
rnacentral:rRNA from 1 species